AUUGAACGCUGGCGGCAGGCCUAACACAUGCAAGUCGAACGGUAACAGGAAGAAGCUUGCUUCUUUGCUGACGCGGGGCGGACGGGUGAAUAAUGUCUGGAAAACAUCCAGAUGGCGGGGGUUAACUACUGGAAACGGUAGCUAAUACCGCAUAACGUCGCAAGACCAUGGAGGGAUACCGUCCGGCGUCUUGCCAUCGACUCUGCCCUGAUGGGAAUAGCUAGUAGGUGGGGUAACGGCUCACCUAGGCUCCGAGCAAUAACUGGUCUGAGAAGAUGACCAGCCACACUGGAACUGAGACACGGGCCAGACUCCUACGGGAGGCAGCAGUGGGGAAUCUUGCACAAUGGGCGCAAGCCUGAUGAAGCCAUGCAGCGUGAGUGAAGAAGGCCUUCGGGUUGUAAAGUACUUUCAGCGGGGAGGAAGGCAGUAGAGUUAAGAAUCUUGCGCAUUGACGUUACCGGCAGAAGGAGCCACGGCUAACUUCGUG
rnacentral:rRNA from 1 species